rnacentral:rRNA from 1 species
CAUGCAAGUCGAACGAAGUAGCAAUACUUAGUGGCAGACGGGUGAGUAACAUGUAGGUAUCUACCCUUUGGCCUGGAAUAACACGGGGAAACUUGUGCUAAUACCGGAUAAGUCUUUACGGAGAAAGCUUUAUGCACCAUUGGAUGAGCCUGCACUUGAUUAGUUUGUUGGUGGGGUAAUGGCCUACCAAGACUGUGAUCAAUAGCUGAUUUGAGAGGAUGAUCAGCCACAUUGGGACUGAGACACGGCCCAAACUCCUACGGGAGGCAGCAGUGGGGAAUCUUGCACAAUGGAGGAAACUCUGAUGCAGCGAUGCCGCGUGAGUGAAGAAGGCCUUUGGGUUGUAAAGCUCUUUCGUCGGGGAAGAAAAUGACUGUACCCGAAUAAGAAGGUCCGGCUAACUUCGUGCCAGCAGCCGCGGUAAUACGAAGGGACCUAGCGUAGUUCGGAAUUACUGGGCUUAAAGAGUUCGUAGGUGGUUGAAAAAGUUAGUGGUGAAAUCCCAGAGCUUAACUCUGGAACUGCCAUUAAAACUUUUCAGCUAGAGUAUGAUAGAGGAAAGCAGAAUUUCUAGUGUAGAGGCGAAAUUCGUAGAUAUUA